GUGCCAGCCGCCGCGGUAAUACGUAGGGCGCAAGCGUUAUCCGGAUUUAUUGGGCGUAAAGAGCUCGUAGGCGGUUUGUCGCGUCUGCCGUGAAAGACCAGGGCUCAACCCUGGUUCUGCGGUGGGUACGGGCAGACUAGAGUGAUGUAGGGGAGACUGGAAUUCCUGGUGUAGCGGUGAAAUGCGCAGAUAUCAGGAGGAACACCGAUGGCGAAGGCAGGUCUCUGGGCAUUUACUGACGCUGAGGAGCGAAAGCAUGGGGAGCGAACAGGAUUAGAUACCCCCGUAGUCC
rnacentral:rRNA from 1 species